rnacentral:lncRNA from 1 species
UAAGUCUGAAGCUUUCUAUGAUUUAGAUUCCUGGUUGCGAGAGGGAGCCUAUAGGAAUGGCGAGAAGGGAGAAAUUUGCAGAGGCAGCAAGGAUUUUCUCUUUGGGUCACCGCGUGUUCUUUGGGGUCAUAUAAAGUACUCUGCUCAAGAACAAAGGCCAGUGUGGCUAUGAUGAAAAUGCAUUGACAGAGGGGCUUCAAUGUCUAUGGAACAGAAACAAGAGCCCUGGGCCAAGAGGAGGAAAUGUGGAUUCACCAACAUGUUGAAAAUCAUUCUAACAUCUCCAGGCCUCAGCGUGGUCAUUCACAAAUGGAAUUCAACAAUUUCUAAGGUCCCUGUAACUAGCUUUGACAAAGAGAACACAGUGGAAGUGAUCCUGCCCACCCCUCUUCCAAGGUAGACCUUAAAAGACCUGUAGCUUCCAUUAUUGUGCCUCCUAGAAGCCUGUACCAUGUAAGAAUUCUAACUACCAUGGGAACAUCAUGCUGUGAGGAAGCCCAAGCUAGCCAUUUGGGAGAGAGAAAGGCCACGUAGAGAAGCACCAAGAAACUAGACAUGUUUGUGAAGCCUACUUGAACUUUCCAGCCCAACUCCAGCUGAAUGCAUCCAAGUGAAUGGCCCCAGCUGAUCCCCUGUGGAGCAGAACUGCCCUGCUGACUCCUGACUGAAUCCCUGAUCCACAGAAUUUGGCUAUGGGCUCAGAUCCUCUCUUACUUCAAGGGAUCUGGGCUGGAUGCUUGGGCGCGAGAGAGAAGAAUGGCUCUCAACUGGGCGGGGAAGAGUAGCCCGCAAGGAGGCAGCGGCUCCAGGAUGGGAAGUGAGGAUGCCAAAAAAGCAUCCCUAGGAAGGUUCCUGCCUUUCCACGAGGCUAUGGGGCUUUGAAGGCCUUGGAAGCAAAGCCCCCAGGAAUGACUGGAAGACAACAUUCUGCAGACCCCUUCCACAGGGUACCCCUGCUCUCCAGGAAGGGCCUUCAGGGCAGCAUUUGGAGGUGGCAUGAGCUAGCAGCGGCGUGCAGCCUGGGCACUGUCUGAUCUGGUCAGC